rnacentral:rRNA from 1 species
AUAUCAAUAAGCGGAGGAAAAGAAACCAACAGGGAUUGCCUCAGUAACGGCGAGUGAAGCGGCAACAGCUCAAAUUUGAAAUCUGCCUCUAGGCCGAGUUGUAAUUUGUAGAAGAUGCUUCGGGUGUGGCACUGGUCUAAGUUCCUUGGAACAGGACGUCAUAGAGGGUGAGAAUCCCGUAUGUGACUGGCUGCCUUCGCCCAUGUGAAGCUCUUUCGACGAGUCGAGUUGUUUGGGAAUGCAGCUCAAAAUGGGUGGUAAAUUUCAUCUAAAGCUAAAUAUUGGCCAGAGACCGAUAGCGCACAAGUAGAGUGAUCGAAAGAUGAAAAGCACUUUGGAAAGAGAGUUAAACAGUACGUGAAAUUGUUGAAAGGGAAGCGCUUGCAACCAGACUUGCACGCAGUUAAUCAUCCGGGGUUCUCCUCGGUGCACUUGACUGCGUUCAGGCCAGCAUCGGUUCGGGCGGUGGGAUAAAGGCCUUGGGAAUGUAGCUUCUUUCGGGGAGUGUUAUAGCCCUCGGUGCAAUGCCACCUGUCUGGACCGAGGACCGCGCUUCGGCUAGGAUGCUGGCGUAAUGGUUGUAAGCGA